rnacentral:rRNA from 1 species
AUACGUAGGUGGCAAGCGUUGUCCGGAAUUAUUGGGCGUAAAGCGCAUGUAGGCGGUUUGGUAAGUCGGUCGUGAAAAUGCGGUGCUUAACGCCGUAUGGCGAUUGAAACUGCUGAACUUGAGUGCAGGAGAGGAAAGGGGAACUCCCAGUGUAGCGGUGAAAUGCGUAGAUAUUGGGAAGAACACCGGUGGCGAAGGCGCCUUUCUGGACUGUGUCUGACGCUCAGAUGCGGAAGCCAGGGUAGCGAACGGGAUUAGAUACCCCGGUAGUCCUGGCCGUAAACGAUGGGUACUAGGUGUGGGAGGUAUCGACUCCUUCCGUGCCGGAGUUAACGCAAUAAGUACCCCGCCUGGGGAGUACGGCCGCAAGGCUUAAACUCAAAUGAAUUGACGGGG